ensembl:lncRNA
CCUCUCUACCCUCUUAUUGCUUAAAUUAUUAACAUUUUGAAGAUACUGUAAGGUGUAUAUAAACUUUUUGGACUGCAGUUGUGUCUAUUGCUUUCACUGGAUAUGUUUUAUAACAAUGGUUGUUCUUCUCUUUGUUUGUUUUUUUUUCUUCUUUUUUCUUUCUUUCCUCAAUGUAUUUUUUCUGACUUUCCUGCCUCUUUGGAUCAUUUCCGUUCACACAGACUGUGGAGAGUAUGGAGCUAAUAUUAUGACAAAAUGAUUUGAAUUUGAAUUGUGUAAAUUUGAAUUAUUUGCAAGUGUAAUCUAACAAAAUUGAAUUUUAGCUGGUAGUUUAAAUAGUUCUGAAUUUGAUUUUUUUAAAACGAAUAUUGAACAUUUGAAAUUUAACAAAUUGAAAUGUUUUUAUGGCUGAAUUUUAUAGACAUGUAUUUUCAAACAGCUAGUUUUUUUGUUCUGAAUUCUUAUUCUGCAAAUAUUCAGUUUAAAAAAAUUCAGAUUCAAGUUUUCAAGGUGAAGCAAUUCGGAACUUCAAAUUCAGUUUUCUAAAAUUCAGUGUCAAAAAUUCAAACUCAAAAAUUCAGAUCUUACAGAAAGUAGGUCACAGGUCAUCCACAGGGAAGAGUAGAUGAUCUCAGAAAAGUCGAACAGAGCAUUUUGGCCAAUUGGGGACUGCGGAAGUUUUCCAGCGCGAACGUGGUGGUGGUUCAAGAGGUUGCCACUCUCUGACUCUGAUCAUGAAUCGCCCGGAGGACAGUGAAGUUGUAAGGUCAGCCAGGCACUUGUUGUCAUUGCUGACGUCUGGCAGUACAGCUGGUCCCAGUCAGGAAAAUGCCAGGCAGCACCCUGUUCAGCAGCACCUUGUUCAGCAGAGGGCCACCAUCCAAACUGAGAUGACCCGAUCAUUUCCUGGUUUUUUUAAUAAAGGGCGGGGUAAAAGGCGGAUUACUUCAACAACCACUAGCAAACCCGCUAAAAUAAUGCCUGUGAACAUUUAUUUGCUGCCUCACCUCUUUGACCGAACGCCUAAAGAGAGUGAGCAACUCAUUCACAUGCAGGCUGGGUUGGGCCGAAAAACAGUGCAUUUAGAGGAAAAUGCCACCUAUGUAGAAGUAAGUAUAAAGGAUGUCUCUCUUGCGUCUUUUAAAAUUGUCUUUUGCUAAGUGCAACAGAGAUUAAGAUUAAUUCAUUAGUACAUCUGUAGUCCGUAUACCUUCGGAUAAUUUUUCUCGUUUUUGUCUUCUAAACGGAAAAACCCUUCUCAUGAACAUAAACAAAUCUUGUCUUUUUAUAUUUUUAUUUUCAUCACACUUUGUUCUAAUCCGCCAAAUGGAAAAACCAUAAAACCAAAAUGGAUAAACAGCUUGAAUAUUAGAUCUCUACAUGGUUUGGAAUAAAACGCUCCUUUUUGAUGAUUGGUCCA